rnacentral:rRNA from 1 species
UGGGGAAUCUUCCGCAAUGGGCGCAAGCCUGACGGAGCAACGCCGCGUGAAUGAAGAAGGCCUUCGGGUUGUAAAAUUCUGUCUUCAGGGAAGAAAAAAAUGACGGUACCUGAGGAGGAAGCCCCGGCUAACUACGUGCCAGCAGCCGCGGUAAAACGUAGGGGGCGAGCGUUGUCCGGAAUUACUGGGCGUAAAGGGCGUGUAGGCGGUCAUUUAAGUCAGAGGUGAAAACUACCGGCUUAACCGGUAGCCUGCCUUUGAAACUGGGUGACUUGAGGACAGGAGAGGGGAGUGGAAUUCCCAGUGUAGCGGUGAAAUGCGUAGAUAUUGGGAGGAACACCAGUGGCGAAGGCGGCUCUCUGGCCUGUUUCUGACGCUGAGGCGCGAAAGCGUGGGUAGCGAACGGG